ACGAGCGCAACCCUUAUCCUUUGUUGCCAGCGGUCCGGCCGGGAACUCAAAGGAGACUGCCAGUGAUAAACUGGAGGAAGGUGGGGAUGACGUCAAGUCAUCAUGGCCCUUACGACCAGGGCUACACACGUGCUACAAUGGCGCAUACAAAGAGAAGCGACCUCGCGAGAGCAAGCGGACCUCAUAAAGUGCGUCGUAGUCCGGAUUGGAGUCUGCAACUCGACUCCAUGAAGUCGGAAUCGCUAGUAAUCGUGGAUCAGAAUGCCACGGUGAAUACGUUCCCGGGCCUUGUACACACCGCCCGUCACACCAUGGGAGUGGGUUGCAAAAGAAGUAGGUAGCUUAACCUUCGGGAGGGCGCUUACCACUUUGUGAUUCAUGACUGGGGUGAAGUCGUAACAAGGUAACCGUAGGGGAACCUGCGGUUGGAUCACCUCCUUACCUUAAAGAAGC
rnacentral:rRNA from 1 species